rnacentral:rRNA from 1 species
UACGAACGCUGGCGGCAUGCCUAACACAUGCAAGUCGAACGAGACCUUCGGGUCUAGUGGCGCACGGGUGCGUAACGCGUGGGAACCUGCCUUUAGGUUCGGAAUAACUCCCCGAAAGGGGUGCUAAUACCGGAUAAUGUCUUCGGACCAAAGAUUUAUCGCCUUUAGAUGGGCCCGCGUAAGAUUAGGUAGUUGGUGGGGUAAAGGCCUACCAAGCCGACGAUCUUUAGCUGGUCUGAGAGGAUGAUCAGCCACACUGGGACUGAGACACGGCCCAGACUCCUACGGGAGGCAGCAGUGGGGAAUAUUGGACAAUGGGCGAAAGCCUGAUCCAGCAAUGCCGCGUGAGUGAUGAAGGCCUUAGGGUUGUAAAGCUCUUUUACCAGGGAUGAUAAUGACAGUACCUGGAGAAUAAGCUCCGGCUAACUCCGUGCCAGCAGCCGCGGUAAUACGGAGGGAGCUAGCGUUGUUCGGAAUUACUGGGCGUAAAGCGCACGUAGGCGGCGAUUC